UACGGGGGUGGCAAGCGUUGUUCGGAAUUACUGGGCGUAAAGGGCCCGUAGGCGGCCCACUAAGUCCGACGUGAAAUCCCAAGGCUUAACCUUGGAACUGCGUCGGAUACUGGAUGGCUUGAAUUCGGGAGAGGGAUGCAGAAUUCCAGGUGUAGCGGUGAAAUGCGUAGAUAUCUGGAGGAAUACCGGUGGCGAAGGCGGCAUCCUGGACCGACAUUGACGCUGAACGGCGAAGGCUAGGGGAGCAAACGGG
rnacentral:rRNA from 1 species